UACGUAGGGUGCGAGCGUUGUCCGGAAUUAUUGGGCGUAAAGGGUGCGUAGGCGGUAUGGCAAGUCGGUCGUGAAAUCCUUCGGCUCAACCGAAGAACGUCGGCCGAUACUGCCGUUCUUGAGGGAUGCAGAGGAGAUUGGAAUUCCCGGUGUAGCGGUGAAAUGUGUAGAGAUCGGGAGGAACACCGGUGGCGAAGGCGGGUCUCUGGGCAUCUCCUGACGCUGAGGCGCGAAAGCGUGGGGAGCAAACGGG
rnacentral:rRNA from 1 species